rnacentral:rRNA from 1 species
AUUGAACGCUGGCGGCAGGCCUAACACAUGCAAGUCGAACGGUAACAGGAAGAAGUUUGCUUCUUUGCUGACGAGUGGCGGACGGGUGUGUAAUGUCUGGGAAACUGCCUGAUGGAGGGGGAUAACUACUGGAAACGGUAGCUAUUACCGCAUAACUUCGCAAGACCAAAGAGGGGGAGCUUCGGGCCUCUUGCCAUCGGAUGUGCCCUGAUGGGGUUAGCUAGUAGGUGGGGUAACGGCUCACCUAGGCGACGAGCCCUAGCUGGUCUGAGAGGAUGACCAGCCACACUGGAACUGAGACACGGUCCAGACUCCUACGGGAGGCAGCAGUGGGGAAUAUUGCGCAAUGGGCGAAAGCCUGAUGCAGCCAUGCCGCGUGUAUGAAGAAGGCCUUCGGGUUGUAAAGUACUUUCAGUGGGGAGGAAGGGAGGAAAGUUAAUACCUUCACUCAUUGACGUUACCCGCAGAAGAAGCACCGGCUAACUCCGUG